GACAGAGGAUGCAAGCGUUAUCCGGAAUGAUUGGGCGUAAAGCGUCUGUAGGUGGCUUUUCAAGUCCGCCGUCAAAUCCCAGGGCUCAACCCUGGACAGGCGGUGGAAACUACCAAGCUGGAGUACGGUAGGGGCAGAGGGAAUUCCCGGUGUAGUGGUGGAAUGCGUAGAGAUCGGGAGGAAUACCUGUGGCGAAGGCGGCCUACUGGGCCGGACCUGACGCUGAGACGCGAAGGCGUGGGGAGCGAACGGG
rnacentral:rRNA from 1 species